rnacentral:misc_RNA from 1 species
GAUGAAGAACGCAGCGAAAUGCGAUAAGUAGUGUGAAUUGCAGAUUUCAGUGAAUCAUCGAAUCUUUGAACGCACAUUGCGCCCUUUGGUAUUCCUUAGGGCAUGCCUGUUCGAGCGUCAUUUAAACCUUCAAGCUAAGCUUGGUGUUGGGUGACUGUCCGCUUCACGGCGGACUCGCCUCAAAAUUAUUGGCGGCCGGUACAUUGGCUUCGAGCGCAGCAGAAACGCGAACUCGGGCCCGUCGUAUUGGCUCCCAGAAGCUAUCUUCACAAUUUUGACCUCGGAUCAGGUAGGGAUACCCGCUGAACUUAAGCAUAUCAAUAAGCGGAGGA